UACGUAGGGGGCAAGCGUUGUCCGGAAUCAUUGGGCGUAAAGCGCGCGUAGGCGGCUCGAUCAGUCUGCUGUGAAAGUCCAAGGCUCAACCUUUGAAUGCCGGUGGAUACUGUCGAGCUAGAGUCCGGAAGAGGCGAGUGGAAUUCCUGGUGUAGCGGUGGAAUGCGUAGAGAUGUGGAGGAACACCAGUGGCGAAGGCGACUCUCUGGACUGUAACUGACGCUGAGGCGCGAAAGCGUGGGGAGCAAACAGG
rnacentral:rRNA from 1 species